rnacentral:ncRNA from 1 species
UUAUUGGUGUAUAGGAAUGCUUGUACUAAGGGGAGCUCAGGGAGGACAGAAACCUCCCAUGGAGAAGAAGGGCAAAAGCUCACUUGAUCUUGAUUUUCAGUACGAAUACAGACCGUGAAAGCAGGGCCUCACGAUCCUUCUGACCUUUUGGGUUUUAAGCAGGAG